rnacentral:misc_RNA from 1 species
GAAAUGCGAUAAGUAAUGUGAAUUGCAGAAUUCAGUGAAUCAUCGAAUCUUUGAACGCACAUUGCGCCCGCCAGUAUUCUGGCGGGCAUGCCUGUCCGAGCGUCAUUUCAACCCUCGGGCCCCCCCUCUGCGGGCGGCCCGGCGUUGGGGCUCAGGCGCCGUCUCUGCUCGGCGCCUGUCCCCUAAAUGCAGUGGCGGCCUCGCCGCUGCCUCCUCCGCGUAGUAGCACAAACCUCGCGGCUGGAAGGCGGCGCGGCCACGCCGUGAAACCCCCAACUUUACCAAGGUUGACCUCGGAUCAGGUAGGAAUACCCGCUGAACUUAA